rnacentral:rRNA from 1 species
AGAUUGAACGCUGGCGGCAUGCCUAACACAUGCAAGUCGAACGGGAGUAGCAAUACUCUAGUGGCGGACGGGUGAGGAAUACGUAGGAAUUUGCCCUUAAGUGGGGGAUAACCCGGGGAAACCCGGAUUAAUACCGCAUGACCUCGAAAGAGCAAAGUGGGGGAUCGCAAGACCUCACGCUUUUGGAGAAGCCUACGUCGGAUUAGCUAGUUGGUGAGGUAAUGGCUCACCAAGGCGACGAUCCGUAACUGGUCUGAGAGGAUGAUCAGUCACACCGGAACUGAGACACGGUCCGGACUCCUACGGGAGGCAGCAGUGGGGAAUAUUGGACAAUGGGCGCAAGCCUGAUCCAGCAAUGCCGCGAGUGUGAAGAAGGCCUUCGGUGUAAAGCAACUUUAAGUUAGGGAAGAAAAACUCGACGUACUAACACAGUGAGUCUUGACGGUACCGACAGAAUAAGCAACCGGCUAACUC